UACGUAGGGUGCAAGCAUUAAUCGGAUUUAUUGGGCGUAAAGGGCGCGUAGGCGGGCCUGUAAGUCAGACGUGAAAUCCCGGGGCUCAACCCCGGAACAGCAUUUGAAACUACAGGUCUAGAGGGUAGGCGGAGAAAACGGAAUUCCACAAGUAGCGGUGAAAUGCGUAGAUAUGUGGAAGAACACCUGUGGCGAAGGCGGUUUUCUAGCUUAUACCUGACGCUGAUGCGCGAAAGCAAGGGGAUCAAACAGG
rnacentral:rRNA from 1 species